AUUGUUCUCAUCAUUGUAGUCGUCUAUGUUGUUGCCGUUAUUGUCGUUGUUCUCGUCGUUGUUGUUGUUGUUGUUAUUGUUGUCAUUGUUGUUGUUGUAGUUGUUGUUGUUGUUGUCGUUGUUGUCUCUGUUGUCGUUGUUGUUGUUGUCGGUGUUGUCGUUGUUAUCGUCAUUGUCGUUUUGUUGUUGUUGUGGUUGUUGUUGUUUUUGUUGCAGUCGUUGUUGUCAUUGUUGUCGUUGUUGUCGUCGUUGUUGUUGUUAUCAUUGUUCUUGUUAUUCUCGUUGUUGUUGUUGUUGUUGUUGUUGUUGUUGUUGUUGUUGUUGUUGUUGUUGUUGUUGUUGUUGUUGUUGUUGUGGUUAUUGUUGUUGUUGUAGUUCUGGUUAUGUUGUUGUUGUGGUUGUUGUUGUUGUUGUUGUUGUUGUUGUGGUUGUUGUUGUUGUUGUUGUUGUUGUUUUUGUGGUUGUUGUUGUGGUUGUUGUUGUUGUUGUUGUUGUUGUUGUUGUUGUGGUUGUUGUUGUUGUUGUUGU
rnacentral:lncRNA from 1 species